rnacentral:misc_RNA from 1 species
GAUGAAGAACGUAGCGAAAUGCGAUAAGUAAUGCGAAUUGCAGAAUUUCCGUGAGUCAUCGAAUCUUUGAACGCACAUUGCGCCCACUGGUAUUCCGGUGGGCAUGCCUGUUCGAGCGUCAUUAUCCUCCCUCAAACCCCGGGUUUGGUGUUGGGGAUCGGCUCUGCCCUUCUGGGCGGUGCCGCCCCCGAAAUACAUUGGCGGUCUCGCUGCAGCCUCCAUUGCGUAGUAGCUAACACCUCGCAACUGGAACGCGGCGCGGCCAUGCCGUAAAACCCCAACUUCUGAAUGUUGACCUCGGAUCAGGUAGGAAUACCCGCUGAACUUAAGCAUAUCAAUAAGCGGAGGA